AUGGUAGCUCAGUUGGUAGAGUUUGGCCUGGCAUGCACAGGGCCCUGGGUUCAAUCCCCAGUAUG
rnacentral:tRNA from 1 species